AACGUAGGUGGCAAGCGUUAUCCGGAUUUACUGGGCGUAAAGUGUGUGCAGGCGGGGGUACAAGUGGUGUAUGAAAUUUCCCAGCUUAACUGGGAAGGGUUAUGCCAGACUGUACUUCUGGAGUGCGAGAGAGGGGCGUGGAAUUCCGGGUGUAGUGGUGAAAUGCGUAGAGAUCCGGAGGAACCCCAGAGGCGAAGGCGGCGCCCUGGCUCGCAACUGACGCUCAGACACGACAGGCAUGGGGAGCGAACGGG
rnacentral:rRNA from 1 species